UUGAACGCUGGCGGCAUGCUUUACACAUGCAAGUCGAACGGUAACAGGUUAAGCUGACGAGUGGCGAACGGGUGAGUAAUGCAUCGGAACGUGCCCGAUCGUGGGGGAUAACGCAGCGAAAGCUGCGCUAAUACCGCAUACGAUCUGAGGAUGAAAGCGGGGGACCGUAAGGCCUCGCGCGAUCGGAGCGGCCGAUGUCAGAUUAGGUAGUUGGUGGGGUAAAGGCUCACCAAGCCGACGAUCUGUAGCUGGUCUGAGAGGACGACCAGCCACACUGGGACUGAGACACGGCCCAGACUCCUACGGGAGGCAGCAGUGGGGAAUUUUGGACAAUGGGGGCAACCCUGAUCCAGCAAUGCCGCGUGAGUGAAGAAGGCCUUCGGGUUGUAAAGCUCUUUUGUCAGGGAAGAAACAGCAGCUCUAACACAGUCUGCGAAUGACGGUACCUGAAGAAUAAGCACCGGCUAACUACGUG
rnacentral:rRNA from 1 species